GCGAGUCUUUGUAGUAAUACAAGGCAGACGGCUCAGUAACACGUAGUCAACCUACCCUAUGGACAAGAAUAAUCUCGGGAAACUGGGCAUAAUUCUUGAUAGAUCAUAAUGCCUGGAAUGGUUUAUGGUUAAAAUGAUUCGUCGCCAUAGGAUGGGACUGCGGCCUAUCAGCUUGUUGGUGAGGUAAUGGCCCACCAAGGCGAUUACAGGUACGGGCUCUGAGAGGAGAAGCCCGGAGAUGGGUACUGAGACACGGACCCAGGCCCUAUGGGGCGCAGCAGGCGAGAAAACUUUGCAAUGUGCGAAAGCACGACAAGGUUAAUCCGAGUGAUUUCUGCUAAAGAAAUCUUUUGCCAGUCAUAAAACCACUGGUGAAUAAGGGGUGGGCAAGUUCUGGUGUCGGCCGCCGCGGUAAAACCAGCACCUCAAGUGGUCAGGAUGAUUAUUGGGCCUAAAGCAUCCGUAGCCGGCUUUGUAAGUUUUCGGUUAAAUCCAUGUGCUCAACGCAUGGGCUGCCGAAAAUACUGCAUAGCUAGGGAGUGGGAGAGGUAGACGGUACUCAGUAGGAAGGGGUAAAAUCCUUUGAUCUAUUGAUGACCACCUGUGGCGAAGGCGGUCUACCAGAACACGUUCGACGGUGAGGGAUGAAAGCUGGGGGAGCAAACCGGAUUAGAUACCCGGGUAGUCCCAGCUGUAAACGAUGCAGACUCGAUGAUGCAUUGGCAUAAUAGCCAGUGCAGUGUCGCAGGGAAGCCGUUAAGUCUGCCGCCUGGGAAGUACGUACGCAAGUAUGAAACUUAAAGGAAUUGGCGGGGGAGCACCACAAGGGGUGAAGCCUGCGGUUCAAU
rnacentral:rRNA from 1 species